UACGUAGGGUGCGAGCGUUGUCCGGAAUUACUGGGCGUAAAGAGCUCGUAGGUGGUUUGUCGCGUUGUUCGUGAAAACUCACAGCUCAACUGUGGGCGUGCGGGCGAUACGGGCAGACUGGAGUACUGCAGGGGAGACUGGAAUUCCUGGUGUAGCGGUGGAAUGCGCAGAUAUCAGGAGGAACACCGGUGGCGAAGGCGGGUCUCUGGACAGUUCCUGACGCUGAGACGCGAAAGCGUGGGGAGCGAACAGG
rnacentral:rRNA from 1 species